CUGAAAUGACAAGAACUGUGGAACUGCAGAAACCUUAUUGUUCGAAAACGACCACUGUGAUCCUCCUGGGUUCCUCAUAGUUACUGCUUCAGAAAACAAAAAGGAAGAAUUGGGUUUAGCCGUUGUAGUAACCCCACUCUUAUAUCAUCUCACACUUAGGAUCCCAUCUUUGUAUAGCAAACAAUUAAGUUCAUUAAAUAUAAAUAAUCUAGGACAGUCAACAGUCGGGAGAGAAGAUUAGCCAGCUAAGAAACUUGAUUAGUUCACAUUAAGUAAUCACUAUCUGACAAUCACAUGAGCAAAAUAAAUAAACUAGAAAGCCCUUAUUUUUCUUUUUCUUCAUGAAGCACGUUCUGAAACCAUUACAGAGAGAAUCCUGGAUUAAAGUAUUCACAAAGACCCAGGUAUUCAUUCAUAACUUAUAGCAGCUGGGGGGAGAAAUAAUGGAAUCAACAUUAAAUAAUAUAGUCAAACAAACCUAAGACAGCCAGCUAAUUCAAC
rnacentral:lncRNA from 1 species